rnacentral:rRNA from 1 species
UGGGGAAUAUUGCACAAUGGGGGAAACCCUGAUGCAGCGACGCCGCGUGAGCGAAGAAGGUUUUCGAAUCGUAAAGCUCUGUCCUAUGGGAAGAUAAUGACGGUACCAUAGGAGGAAGCCCCGGCUAACUACGUGCCAGCAGCCGCGGUAAUACGUAGGGGGCAAGCGUUGUCCGGAAUCACUGGGCGUAAAGGGUUCGCAGGCGGAAUUGCAAGUCAGUUGUGAAAGGCAGAGGCUCAACCUCUGUAAGCAAUUGAAACUGUAUUUCUUGAGAUGUGGAGAGGCAAGUGGAAUUCCUAGUGUAGCGGUGAAAUGCGUAGAUAUUAGGAAGAAUACCGGUGGCGAAGGCGACUUGCUGGACACAAACUGACGCUGAGGAACGAAAGCGUGGGUAGCAAACAGG